rnacentral:rRNA from 1 species
CCUACGGGUGGCAGCAGUGGGGAAUAUUUCACAAUGGGGGAAACCCUGAUGCAGCGACGCCGCGUGAGCGAUGAAGUAUUUCGGUAUGUAAAGCUCUAUCAGCAGGGAAGAAAAUGACGGUACCUGACUAAGAAGCCCCGGCUAACAACGUGCCAGCAGCCGCGGGAAUACGUCGGGGGCAAGCGUUAUCCGGAUUUACUGGGUGUACAGGGAGCGUAGACGGCGGUGCAAGCAGGAUGUGAAAGCCCGGGGCUCAACCCCGGGACUGCAUUUGGAACUGUGCUGCUAGAGUGUCGGAGAGGCCGGCGGAAUUCCGAGUGUAGCGGUGAAAUGCGUAGAUAUUAGGAGGAACACCAGUGGCGAAGGCGGCCUGCUGGACGAUGACUGACGUUGAGGCUCGAAAGCGUGGGUAGCAAACAGGAUUAGAUACCCUAGUAGUC